GAUGAACGCUGGCGGCGUGCCUAAUACAUGCAAGUCGAGCGAACAGACGAGGAGCUUGCUCCUCUGACGUUAGCGGCGGACGGGUGAGUAACACGUGGAUAACCUACCUAUAAGACUGGGAUAACUUCGGGAAACCGGAGCUAAUACCGGAUAAUAUAUUGAACCGCAUGGUUCAAUAGUGAAAGACGGUUUUGCUGUCACUUAUAGAUGGAUCCGCGCCGCAUUAGCUAGUUGGUAAGGUAACGGCUUACCAAGGCAACGAUGCGUAGCCGACCUGAGAGGGUGACCGGCCACAGUGGAACAGAGACACGGUCCAGAAUCCCACGGGAGGCAGCAGUAGGGAAUCUUCCGCAAUGGGCGAAAGCUUGAAGGAGCAACGCCGCGUGAGUGAUGAAGGUCCUCGGAUCGUAAAACUCUGUUAUGAGGGAAGAACAAAUGUGUAAGUAACUAUGCAAGUCUUGACGGUACCUAAACAGAAAGCCACGGCUAACUACGU
rnacentral:rRNA from 1 species